rnacentral:lncRNA from 1 species
GUGACUCAUCAUCAUGUCGAGUGCUAGAACUAGCCCCAACCAUCUGUGCAUACUCUUCAUCCCUGGAUAAUUUGAAGGCAAGCUCAACCAAUCGGGCCUCAGGUAGCCCCUCUAUAAGAUCAACCUCGGCCUCAUCAUCAAUGUCCUCAUGACCCUCUCCGAAUAAAUCAUCAAAUGAAAGCAUAGUGCCAAAAGUCUUUGAUGAAAAAGC